AUGCGGUGCCGGCCGUUGCAGGUACUGCCUGAUGCAGUCCAUCAAGCACUGCCAGGUGCAGCGCGAGAGCUUGGUCCGCGCCGGCAAGAAGAUCGCCUACCAGGGACGGGUGAAGGACGAGCCGGCGUACUACUGCAACGAGUGCGACGUGGAGGUGUUCAACAUCCUCUUCGUGACGAGCGAGACCGGCGGGCGCAACACCUACCUGGUGCACUGCGAGGGCUGCGCCCGGCGCCGCAGCGGGGCCCUGCACGGCGUCGUCGUCCUCGAGCAGUACAAGACCGAGGAGCUGAUGCAGAUCUACGACGGCUUCACCCUGGUGGCGUCGCCCAGCUCCAGAUGAGCCCUGCCCGGCCCAGGGGGUUCCUGGGCGCCCGUGACAGGGAUGGGGACACGGGGACGCCCCCCCCGGCCCCCACCCCGAACACUUUUUAUUUAUUCAUGGGGAAAUCGCCCCAAAAUUGGCCUCCCCCCCUCCCACAUCUUCUCGCCCCCCCCUCUCCGCACUCUGAAGAGCAGCACCGGGCCGGGGGGGGCCCGGACAGACGGACGGACGGACGGACGCAGCGGGGACUCGGGGUGCUGGGGGGGGGAUUUUUUUUGAGGGGGGGGGGGCAGACGCGAAACUUAAUGUUUUUUACAGAAAUAUCGAUUUAUAAAAAUGAACAAUUCCCCCUCAAAACCUGGGGGGGGAUGGGGGGGCUCUUCCUGCACCCCCCCCUCCUGAUUUGGGGGUCCCUGUGGGGUCCCCACCGCCCCCCCCACACAUUGGGGGGGGUCUCCAUGGCCCCCCCCCAUCUCUUGGAAGG
rnacentral:lncRNA from 1 species